AGAACGAACGCUGGCGGCAUGCCUAACACAUGCAAGUCGAACGAGACCUUCGGGUCUAGUGGCGCACGGGUGCGUAACGCGUGGGAAUCUGCCCUUGGGUUCGGAAUAACAGCGAGAAAUUGCUGCUAAUACCGGAUGAUGACGUAAGUCCAAAGAUUUAUCGCCCAGGGAUGAGCCCGCGUAGGAUUAGCUAGUUGGUGAGGUAAAGCUCACCGAAGGCGACGAUCCUUAGCUGGUCUGAGAGGAUGAUCAGCCACACUGGGACUGAGACCGACCGGCCCAGACCUCCGUACGGGAGCCAGGCAAGGUAGGAAUAGUGGAACAAGUGGGCGACAAGUCCUGAACUCC
rnacentral:rRNA from 1 species